rnacentral:sRNA from 1 species
AUAUCAAAGUUUCUCAUUGGUUGGACUUGGGAGAUAAUACCCAGAUUUGCUAGACUGUCUACCUAUCUUUGCAUCCCACUGCCAAUAUUUCCUACCUCUUUCCAGUAAGUCUCUUUUCCCACUUUUUACUCCAUUACUCUUUAACUUAUAAUGUACUUUUUGCCUUCUUAUGUUGAAACCAAAUUCUGAACAGAAUGAAAGAUCUUCUGACUGACCUGGCUAGAGAAGGAGAAGCAUUUCUUGGUGGGACUCAAUGUAAUGUCAUAGACACUACGUCUGCAACUUGCUAUUAUCUCCACGGCCAAUAUACCAAACUUGUAGAAAUAUUCAUAUUUUUGUGUUUCUAGUACUUCUCUUACGGAAUUACCAGUUAAUCAUAGGGCCGCGAUGUACACCAAAACAAUGUCAUAUAUAAGAUAAAAUGUGCCCCCAGUGUUUUCCUAAGUUUAGCAUCUACUUUCCAGUCACUCCUUUUGUACCUUCUCCCUAAAGCUGGCAUUGGAUUAUUUGGCUAUCGGAAUUCAAUGCUCCUGGUUGUCCUUCUGUUGCUUUUCCUUUUGAAUCACGUGGUUUCUUGAAAUAAUCACAACUUGGACUUCCACCAUGUGUUUUAUAUUUCUUUUGUCCACCCUCCUCUACCCUAAGAAAGAGCUCCCUACCCUUUAACGGAUAGGCAGCUUUCUUUCCCCUCUAGAACAGCUCAAAGAUGUUGCUUAUGGCACCCGACCGUUGUCGUUAUGUUUGGAAACACUGCCAGCCCAUGGAGAUGAGGAUAAAGUGGAUAUUUCUCUGCUGCAUCAGGGUGAGAAUCUUUUUGAACUGCACAUCCACCAGGCCUUCCUGACAUCUGCUGCCCUAGCUCAGGCUGGAGAUACCCAACCUACCACUUUCUGCACCUAUUCCUUCUAUGACUUCGAAACCCACUGUACCCCAUUAUCUGUGGGGCCACAGCCCCUCUAUGACUUCACCUCCCAGUAUGUGAUGGAGACAGAUUCGCUUUUCUUACACUACCUUCAAGAGGCUUCAGCCCGGCUUGACGUAUACCAGGCCGUGGCCAGUGAACACAGCACUCUUGCUGCAGGAUGGAUUUGCUUUGACAGGGUGCUAGAGACUGUGGAGAAAGUCCAUGGCUUGGCCACACUGAUUGGAGCUGGUGGAGAAGAGUUCGGGGUUCUAGAGUACUGGAUGAGGCUGCGUUUCCCCAUAAAACCCAGCCUACAGGCAUGCAGUAAACGAAAGAAAGCCCAGGUCUACCUGUCAACCGAUGUGCUUGGAGGCCGGAAGGCCCAGGAAGAGGAGUUCAGAUCGGAGUCUUGGGAACCUCAGAACGAGCUGUGGAUUGAAAUCACCAAGUGCUGUGGCCUCCGGAGUCGAUGGCUGGGAACUCAACCCAGUCCAUAUGCUGUGUACCGCUUCUUCACCUUUUCUGACCAUGACACUGCCAUCAUUCCAGCCAGUAACAACCCCUACUUUAGAGACCAGGCUCGAUUCCCAGUGCUUGUGACCUCUGACCUGGACCAAUAUCUGAGACGGGAGGCCUUGUCUAUACAUGUUUUUGAUGAUGAAGACUUAGAGCCUGGCUCGUAUCUUGGCCGAGCCCGAGUGCCUUUACUGCCUCUUGCAAAAAAUGAAUCUAUCAAAGGUGAUUUUAACCUCACUGACCCUGCAGAGAAACCCAACGGAUCUAUUCAAGUGCAACUGGAUUGGAAGUUUCCCUACAUACCCCCUGAGAGUUUCCUGAAACCAGAAGCUCAGACUAAGGGGAAGGAUACCAAGGACAGUUCAAAUAUCUCAUCUGAAGAGGAAAAGGCUUCAUUUCCUUCCCAGGAUCAGAUGGCAUCUCCUGGGGUUCCCAUUGAAGCUGGCCAGUAUCGAGCUAAGAUAAAACCUCCUCACGGGGGAGAAAGAAAGGAAAAGGAGCACCAGGUUGUGAGCUACUCAAGAAGAAAACAUGGCAAAAGAAUAGGCGUUCAAGGAAAGAAUAGAAUGGAGUAUCUUAGCCUUAACAUCUUAAAUGGAAAUACACCAGAGCAGGUGAAUUACACUGAGUGGAAGUUCUCAGAGACUAACAGCUUCAUAGGUGAUGGCUUUAAAAAUCAGCACAAGGAAGAGGAAAUGACAUUAUCCCAUUCAGCACUGAAACAGAAGGAACCUCUACAUCCUGUAAAUGAUAAAGAAUCCUCUGAACAAGGUUCUGAAGUCAGUGAAGCACAAACUACCGACAGUGAUGAUGUCAUAGUGCCACCCAUGUCUCAGAAAUAUCCUAAGGCAGAUUCAGAGAAGAUGUGCAUUGAAAUUGUCUCCCUGGCCUUCUACCCAGAGGCAGAAGUGAUGUCUGAUGAGAACAUAAAACAGGUGUACGUGGAGUACAAAUUCUACGACCUACCCUUGUCGGAGACAGAGACUCCAGUGUCCCUAAGGAAGCCUAGGGCAGGAGAAGAAAUCCACUUUCACUUUAGCAAGGUAAUAGACCUGAACCCACAGGAGCAGCAAGGCCGAAGGCAGUUUCUGUUCGACAUGCUGAAUGGACAAGAUCCUGAUCAAGGACAUUUAAAGUUUACAGUGGUAAGUGAUCCUCUGGAUGAAGAAAAGAAAGAAUGUGAAGAAGUGGGAUAUGCAUAUCUUCAACUGUGGCAGAUCCUGGAGUCAGGAAGAGAUAUUCUAGAGCAAGAGCUAGACAUUGUUAGCCCUGAAGAUCUGGCUACCCCAAUAGGAAGGCUGAAGGUUUCCCUUCAAGCAGCUGCUGUCCUCCAUGCUAUUUACAAGGAGAUGACUGAAGAUUUGUUUUCAUGAAGGAACAAGUGCUAUUCCAAUCUAAAAGUCUCUGAGGGAACCAUAGUAAAAAGUCUCUUAUAAAGUUAGCUUGCUAUAACAU